rnacentral:rRNA from 1 species
UACGAAGGGGGCGAGCGUUGUUCGGAUUUACUGGGCGUAAAGGGCGCGUAGGCGGCGGGUCAAGUCGAGUGUGAAAUCCUGGAGCUCAACUCCAGAACUGCCUUUGAUACUGGCGAUCUCGAGUCCGGGAGAGGUGAGUGGAACUGCGAGUGUAGAGGUGAAAUUCGUAGAUAUUCGCAAGAACACCAGUGGCGAAGGCGGCUCACUGGCCCGGUACUGACGCUGAGGUGCGAAAGCGUGGGGAGCAAACAGGG